UACAUUGAAUUUCUCUUCUUCCUUCACUUUA
rnacentral:piRNA from 1 species